rnacentral:rRNA from 1 species
AGCAGCCGCGGUAAUUCCAGCUCCAAUAGCGUAUAUUAAAGUUGUUGCAGUUAAAAAGCUCGUAGUUGAAUUUCGGGGUCAGUAGGUUGGUCAUGCCACUGGUAUGUACUGGUCUCACUGAUUCCUCCUUCCUGAUGAGCCGUAAUGCCAUUAAUUUGGUGUUGCGAGGAAUCUGGACUGUUACUUUGAAAAAUUAGAGUGUUUAAAGCAAGCUAACGCUUGAAUACAUUAGCAUGGAAUAAUGAAAUAGGACGUUCGAUCCUAUUUUGUUGGUUUCUAGGAUUGACGUAAUGAUUAAUAGGGAUAGUUGGGGGCAUUAGUAUUCAAUUGUCAGAGGUGAAAUUCUUGGAUUUAUUGAAGACUAACUACUGCGAAAGCAUUUGCCAAGGAUGUUUUCAUUAAUCAAGAACGAAAGUUAGGGGAUCGAAGACGAUCAGAUACCGUCGUAGU